ensembl:lncRNA
AUUUGCUUGGGAGCUUUAAUAUCAUUAUCUGUUAUCUAUUUGUUUAAAAAGUAGUAACGAUGGAGAAAACUCCAGGCGAUGAGCAGUGUGAGCCUCAGUUGUACAGAGUCUAAACCAGCCUAGGCAGCAGACCGUACAAGUCAGGGUGAAUACGCAGCUAAUUUAAGUCUGAAAAACGAAACCGAUCCAUGUAGAAAUUCAGCUAAAAUCCUCCAUUUUAUGCCCUUUGACUUGUGAGAGUGAUCAAACACUCCUGCAGUAGUGAGAAAGCUCUACUCAGUAAAACGUGGAGGUGUAACAUUGCAGCCAGGCACGAGGACUUCAUUCCUUCCUCCUGGAAGAAAGGGACAAGCUCUUCCCGUGGACAGGCAGAGAAAAGCAUCACAAAAGCUGGCUUCAUAGAAACUCAGAGGAAGGGCAGAUUUUUCUGGUUUCCAGUGAGGGGGGGCGGGGAAGUAAAUAGAAAGCCACCUGGAAAUCCAAACCUGUCUGUAUAAACCUGCAAGCUCCCAGUAACCUAGAAACUGAAAGUGGUCCUUGAUCAGUUAUGGCUGUGCCUCUUUGCUCAACACAUAAACUUACCUGUGAAUGUUGAAAGACAGGUGGCACAAAAGUGAAUAAUAAUAAUAACUCAUAAAUUUAUUUUUCUUUUUGCCACUUGUUCCUGCGUAGCAUAAAGCUGGUGAAACAAGCUCCUUUGUCAGCAUCCUAAGAGUGAUUAGCCAAGGAGGUUGGUACUUGCAGAGUGUGUGCAAGGCCCUGGGAGCUGUUGUUCACCUGGUGCUUUGAUCGUCAGCAUUUCCAGAGCUACAGGCUCUGUUCCAGGACAGUUUUUCCAUGAGACGUGACUGAGUACUGAGGUCAGCUACGUGUAGCAGCCUGUGUCCAGACCAUCUGCAGGAAUUCAGGAGGAACUCAGUAGAAUGGUUCUGUGCCUUUCCCCCUUAAAAACUGGUUGCGCGGGAAUUGUCAAGUCUCUGGAAUCUGACCUGUCCCCCCACCCCCAGUCAAUAAUCACAUUAGUACAUCUGUGUGACAGAAAUAAUAGCUUUUGUCUACCAAAGCUGCAGAGUCCUGUUGCCAGGCAACUCAGUCCUGAGGCAACAAAACAGAGAGGAACGGGUGUGUGGGAGGACCAAGCCCGAGUGCAAGAGCUGCUGCUUGUGCUGCUGGUAGCUAUAAUUGGGGGAAGCUUGGAAUAUACUGUUUCCACCAGAGAUUUGGGAUAACAGAGCUUGCCAGGCUCAGAAACUUUCAAUUAGGUGGCUACAGGCAGUGGUUGGUUAUCUUGUUUUGUUCUGAUAUUACAGAAAGGCUUUGGGGAUGCUGUAGAUGACGGAGGUGCAGAUUGGGGUGUCUUGUACCAGCGAUGCUAAGGCUGCUCCUGCAGAAAGAUAAAUGCAGUCGCUCUUUCCAGAUGCACUGCAGAGCACAGCCUUAGCGUGCUUUGGUGGUCCGUGCUCCUCAGAAGCCAGGUUUUGUUCAUUCCUCGUUGUCAGGGAAUGCAGUAGCUCUGCUGCUCUGCCACAAUUUGUAUGCCAGUUUGGCAUCAUGCAUGCCAGUCAUCAUGAGGUUACAAUCUCACCUGGUACCCGAGCCUUGAUCAAAUAUGACCUCCUCAUCCCAGUGGGAGAGUCAUCCUUAAAAUAAUAAAGGCUACUGAAAUAUAUGGGAUGUGAAUUUC